AUACGAAAAGGCAGCCUUUCAUUUACUAUAUAAAGGACCCUUCUGUAUACAUUUUUCUCAAUUCUCAUUUUUCUCAAUCUACUUCUCCUGCUUUCGAUCGAUCGCUUUCUCUCUCGCUCGGUCAUUUGAUUACCAGCACCGUUUCAAGAUGCAAAUCUUUGUUAAGACCCUUACUGGCAAGACCAUAACUCUCGAGGUUGAGAGUUCUGACACAAUCGAUAAUGUUAAGGCAAAGAUUCAAGACAAGGAAGGAAUUCCUCCUGAUCAGCAAAGGCUGAUCUUUGCUGGAAAGCAAUUAGAGGACGGUAGAACUCUUGCAGACUAUAACAUCCAGAAGGAGUCCACCCUCCACCUUGUCCUUCGUUUGCGUGGUGGUAUGCAGAUCUUUGUGAAAACCUUGACUGGGAAGACAAUUACUCUUGAGGUUGAGAGCUCUGACACUAUUGACAAUGUCAAGGCAAAAAUCCAAGAUAAGGAAGGGAUUCCUCCAGAUCAGCAGAGGCUGAUCUUUGCCGGGAAACAGUUAGAGGAUGGAAGAACUCUAGCUGACUACAACAUCCAAAAAGGAGUCCACACUCCACCUUGUCCUUCGUCUGCGUGGUGGCAUGCAGAUCUUUGUGAAAACCUUGACUGGGAAGACAAUUACUCUUGAGGUUGAGAGCUCUGACACUAUUGACAAUGUCAAGGCAAAAAUCCAAGAUAAGGAAGGAAUUCCUCCAGAUCAGCAGAGAUUGAUCUUUGCCGGUAAACAGUUGGAGGAUGGAAGAACUCUAGCUGACUACAACAUCCAAAAGGAGUCCACACUCCACCUUGUCCUUCGUCUGCGUGGUGGCAUGCAGAUCUUUGUGAAAACCUUGACUGGAAAGACUAUUACCCUCGAGGUUGAAAGCUCAGACACUAUUGACAAUGUUAAGGCAAAAAUUCAGGACAAGGAGGGCAUUCCUCCAGACCAGCAAAGGUUGAUUUUUGCUGGAAAGCAACUUGAGGAUGGUCGUACUCUUGCUGACUACAAUAUUCAGAAGGAGUCCACCCUCCACCUUGUCCUUCGUCUGCGAGGUGGUAUGCAGAUUUUUGUGAAGACAUUGACAGGGAAGACCAUCACCCUUGAGGUUGAGAGUUCUGACACCAUCGACAAUGUCAAGGCUAAAAUUCAAGAUAAGGAAGGCAUCCCACCUGACCAGCAGAGGUUGAUUUUUGCUGGGAAACAGCUUGAGGAUGGAAGGACUCUAGCAGAUUACAACAUUCAAAAGGAAUCAACUCUCCAUUUGGUGCUGCGCCUAAGGGGUGGUAUGCAGAUUUUUGUGAAGACAUUGACUGGGAAGACAAUCACCCUGGAGGUAGAAAGUUCAGACACCAUUGAUAAUGUGAAGGCAAAGAUCCAAGACAAAGAAGGGAUUCCACCAGACCAGCAGCGUUUAAUUUUUGCUGGCAAGCAGCUUGAGGAUGGUAGGACUCUUGCUGAUUACAAUAUCCAGAAAGAGUCCACACUCCAUUUGGUGCUCCGUUUGAGAGGAGGAAUGCAGAUCUUUGUCAAGACACUUACUGGAAAGACGAUUACCUUGGAGGUGGAGAGCUCAGAUACCAUUGAUAAUGUGAAGGCGAAGAUUCAGGAUAAGGAGGGUAUCCCACCAGACCAGCAGAGGUUGAUUUUUGCUGGUAAGCAGCUGGAGGAUGGUCGCACCCUUGCUGACUAUAACAUUCAGAAAGAGUCAACUCUUCACCUUGUUCUUCGUCUCCGUGGUGGCUUUUGAGAAUUUAUUGCUUUUGUAACUGUGUUUUCUUCUCCUUUGGUCGAAAGAUGUUUUCCAGACUUUUCUGGUUUUAGUUUUGUGAUGUUGCCUUUCUUAUGUGUGGUUGAACUGUCGUUUAUGUGAAUAAAUAAAAAUUUAGCUCUGUUACUAUGUAA